UACGGAGAGUGCAAACGUUGUUCGGAUUCACUGGGCGUAAAGGGCACGUAGGCGGCUCGGCAAAUCGGUCGUGGAAUCCCGACGCUUACCGUCGGAACGGCGGCCGAAAAUACCGGGCUCGAGGGCGUGAGGGGUCACUGGAACUCCUGGUGAAGCGGUGAAAUGCGUAGAUAUCAGGAGGAACGCCGGAGGCGAAAGCGAGUGACUGGCGCGCUCCUGACGCUGAGGUGCGAAAGCUAGGGGAGCAAACAGG
rnacentral:rRNA from 1 species